rnacentral:lncRNA from 1 species
UGUGGAGAGCGGUGUUAGCCAUAGAGGCUCCAUAUUAAAUCUUACCCUCCACUGCAUAGAGCAAGGAGACUGUGUUAUGAGGAACCGCGUCCCUGCCAACCUAAAUGUUUACCUUCAGAAAUUGUCCUGGAAACAUGAUGAACGUUCUGUAACCCCGAGAAACAAAGAAGCCCAUGAGGGUGGGGAAUUUCCAAAGAACUAGAGAACAGGGAAGUAGGUGUCUCUGGAUAAGGGUCAUGAUUAAUGACCAAACUCACCAAGUGUAUAAAAGAAAGGUGAAAAAUAAACUUGGGCACUCGAUCUCUGGGAGCCCUCCCGGCUCUAUCUCUUUGUCUUUAUUUUUCUUCAUCCUCAUUCCCCCAUUCAGGUACUGUUCGACAGGUGACGGCGGGCUCCGUCACGGGUGGCACCCGAACAGGGACCUGAAUACGGGGGACCAUAGUGAAGGACACCGCGGAUUGUGAGCUCGGAUAAGUCAAGGGCGGUGAAUACACUCGGGAGUAGCAAGAUGGGUAAUAGCAGUAGCCCAAUGCUUUUUGCGCAAAUACUUAAGAAUAUGCUUCGGUCUCGUGGAGCAAAGGACGCUGAAGGCACCAGGUGGCUGCCUGAAAGAUUGGUCUGUUUCACGGGGAAUUCUCUUGCCCCUCAGGAUGAUUCUGACAACUGUCCUGCUGAUGAAUCUAAUGAUGAUGCUUAAUGGGGAAGUUUAUUGGACUUAUGUACCUGAUCCACCUGUGGCGGCCCCUGACAAGAACGAGGUUCGAUCGUUCAACUAUACGGGAUCACUGGAGUCCAUCUACAUCUACCUGUGGAGGCUAGUAGUCAAUGAUGGGUAAGAGGAGUACAGGAAAUCACCAACCUAAGACAGAGCAAGAGUACUGUGACGCUCUUGACUCGAUGACGGGUAAGAGAUUUCUUUAUAUUCCUCGCCUAAGACAGGCACAGUCUAUCUGCGUGAUCAAGGGACCUUGGUCAUAAUAUAUAAAACGGGGAGAUGUGGAGAGCGGUGUUAGCCAUAGAGGCUCCAUAUUAAAUCUUACCCUCCAUUGCAUAGAGCAAGGAGACUGUGUUAUGAGGAACCGCGUCCCUGCCAACCUAAAUGUUUACCUUCAGAAAUUGUCCUGGAAACACGAUGAACGUUCUAUAACCCCGAGAAACAAAGAAGCCCAUGAGGGUGGGGAAUUUCCAAAGAACUAGAGAACAGGGAAGUAGGUGUCUCUGGAUAAGGGUCAUGAUUAAUGACCAAACUCACCAAGUGUAUAAAAGAAAGGUGAAAAAUAAACUUGGGCACUCGAUCUCUGGGAGCCCUCCCGGCUCUAUCUCUUUGUCUUUUUCUUCAUCCUCACUCCCCCAUUCAGGUACUGUUCAACAGGUGACGGCGGGCUCCGUCACCAGUUUGAAUCUAGUAUAAGAAAGCAGAUAAAACUGAGAAACAUUAAGCAAAAU